UGAGGAAUAUUGGUCAAUGGGCGCGAGCCUGAACCAGCCAAGCCGCGUGAGGGAUGAAGGUGCGAAGCAUCGUAAACCUCUUUUGUCAGGGAACAAAAGCCGCCUUGCGAGGCGGUCUGAGUGUACCUGAAGAAAAAGCAUCGGCUAACUCCGUGCCAGCAGCCGCGGUAAUACGGAGGAUGCGAGCGUUAUCCGGAUUUAUUGGGUUUAAAGGGUGCGUAGGCGGUGUCUUAAGUCAGCGGUAAAAGACCGGGGCUCAACCCCGGCAAGCCGUUGAAACUGGGAUACUCGAGUUGGCGAGAAGUAUGCGGAAUGCGCAGUGUAGCGGUGAAAUGCAUAGAUAUUGCGCAGAACUCCGAUUGCGAAGGCAGCAUACCGGCGCCACACUGACGCUGAGGCACGAAAGCGUGGGUAUCGAACAGG
rnacentral:rRNA from 1 species